UAAUACGUAGGUGGCAAGCGUUGUCCGGAUUUAUUGGGCGUAAAGCAUGCGUAGGCGGAUACUUAAGUGGGAUGUGAAAACCCGGGGCUCAACUCCGGACCUGCAUUCCAAACUGGGUGUCUAGAGUACAGGAGAGGAAAGGGGAAUUCCUAGUGUAGCGGUGAAAUGCGUAGAGAUUAGGAAGAACACCAGUGGCGAAGGCGCCUUUCUGGACUGUAACUGACGCUGAGGCAUGAAAGCGUGGGUAGCAAACAGGAUUAGAUACCCUGGUAGNCCACGCCGUAAACGAUGAGUACUAGGUGUCGGGGUUUCAAUACUUUCGGUGCCGCAGUUAACACAUUAAGUACUCCGCCUGGGAAGUACGAUCGCAAGAUUAAAACUCAAAGGAAUUGACGGGGGCCCGCACAAGUAGCGGAGCAUGUGGUUUAAUUCGACGCAACGCGAAGAACCUUACCUGGGCUUGACAUCCUAAGAAGUCGGUGGAAACACUGAUGUGCCCUUCGGGGAACUUAGAGACAGGUGGUGCAUGGUUGUCGUCAGCUCGUGUCGUGAGAUGUUGGGUUAAGUCCCGCAACGAGCGCAACCCUUGUUGUUAGUUGCUACCAUUAAGUUGAGCACUCUAGCAAGACUGCCUGGGGUAACCAGGAGGAAGGUGGGGAUGACGUCAAAUCAUCAUGCCCCUUAUGUCCAGGGCUACACACGUGCUACAAUGGUUGGUACAGAGAGACGCAAGACCGUGAGGUGGAGCAAAUCCCAUAAAACCAAUCUCAGUUCGGAUUGUAGGCUGAAACUCGCCUACAUGAAGCUGGAGUUACUAGUAAUCGCGAAUCAGAAUGUCGCGGUGAAUGCGUUCCCGGGCCUUGUACACACCGCCCGUCACACCAUGAGAGUCGAUAACACCCGAAGUCCGUGAGGUAACCGUAAGGGGCCAGCGGCCGAAGGUGGGAUUGAUGAUUGGGGUGAAGGCGUAACAAGGUAGAGCUCUCAGUCAGUCAAAUCACUAGUGAAUUCG
rnacentral:rRNA from 1 species